UACAGAGGUGCCAAGCGUUGUUCGGAUUUAUUGGGCGUAAAGGGUGCGUAGGCGGUUGUGCAAGUCGGAUGUGAAAUCCCGGAGCCUAACUCCGGAACUGCAUUCGAAACUGCACAGCUGGAGGACUGGAGAGGUAACCGGAAUUCUCGGUGUAGCAGUGAAAUGCGUAGAUAUCGAGAGGAACACCAGAGGCGAAAGCGGGUUACUGGACAGAUCCUGACGCUGAGGCACGAAAGCCAGGGGAG
rnacentral:rRNA from 1 species